UACGUAGGGUGCAAGCGUUAAUCGGAAUUACUGGGCGUAAAGGGCGCGUAGGCGGCCUGUUAAGUCGAACGUGAAAUCCCCGGGCUUAACCUGGGAACUGCAUUUGUGACUGGCAAGCUAGAGUAUGGCAGAGGGGGGGUAGAAUUCCACGUGUAGCAGUGAAAUGCGUAGAGAUGUGGAGGAACACCGAUGGCGAAGGCAGCCCCCCUGGGUCAAGAUUGACGCUCAUGCACGAAAGCGUGGGGAGCGAACAGG
rnacentral:rRNA from 1 species